rnacentral:rRNA from 1 species
UACGUAGGGGGCAAGCGUUGUCCGGAAUCAUUGGGCGUAAAGCGCGUGUAGGCGGCCCGAUAAGUCCGCUGUGAAAGUCCAGGGCUCAACCCUGGGAUGCCGGUGGAUACUGUCGGGCUCGAGUCCGGAAGAGGCGAGUGGAAUUCCUGGUGUAGCGGUGAAAUGCGCAGAUAUCAGGAGGAACACCAAUGGCGAAGGCAGCUCGCUGGGACGCGACUGACGCUGAGACGCGAAAGCGUGGGGAGCAAACAGG